CCGUCAAUCAAAUCGAUAAUCUCUCGUCUGUGUCUGUCGUCGUCCUCGCAUGACUUCAUUCCCAUUCGAUCGAUCUCUCCUUUGUUUGAACCCUGACUGAACCUUUGACCUCAAAUCAGGUAGGACUACCCGCUGAACUUAAGCAUAUCAAUAAGCGGAGGAAAAGAAACUAACAAGGAUUCCCCUAGUAACUGCGAGUGAAGCGGGAUCAGCUCAAAUUUCGAAUCUGGCGGUCUUCCUCCGUCCGAGUUGUAAUCUAGAGAAGCAUCUUCCAGCGUUGCCUCCGUGUACAAGUCUCCUGGAAGGGAGCAUCAUAGAGGGUGAGAAUCCCGUCUUUGACACGGAUCCCUGUCAGCGCCCUGUGAUGUGCUCUCGACGAGUCGAGUUGUUUGGGAAUGCAGCUCAAAAUGGGUGGUAAACUCCAUCUAAAGCUAAAUACCGGCGAGAGACCGAUAGCGAACAAGUACCGUGAGGGAAAGACGAAAAGAACUUUGAAAAGAGAGUUAAACAGUACGUGAAAUUGCUGAAAGGGAAACGCUUGAUGUCAGUCGCAUCCCCCGGGGAUCAACCUUGCGCAGCUCGGUGUAUUUCCUGGUCGUGAUGGGUCAGCAUCAGUUUCGAUCGUCGUACAAAGGCACGCAGGAACGUGGCACUCUUCGGAGUGUGUUUAUAGCCUCGAGUCACAUCCGCCGGUCGGGACUGAGGAUCUCAGCGCUGACUU
rnacentral:rRNA from 1 species